UGAAGUGCGAUAUGUGUCAUGACUUGCAGAUUCCCGAGAGCUGACAAAUCUCUGAAUGCAUAUGGCGGCCGCUUGACCCGGCCAUGUAUUGCAGAGUGUAGUUGUUCCUACUCAUCAUCCUCCAAACACUCCAUAGUGUAGAGGGAUCUGCGCUUGCUCCUUUGGCGAGCGUGAAAAUGACGGUGCUGCACAAGUGCGUUUACGCAUAUGUGCACGCGCUACGGAGACUAUAUACUAUACAGUAUAUAUGCAUAUAGCGCUGUGGUAACAACACACCAUACCUAUCUAUACACUCCACCUCUGCAGUACAGGAAAACCCGCUGAACUUAA
rnacentral:misc_RNA from 1 species